rnacentral:rRNA from 1 species
GACAGAGGGUGCAAACGUUGUUCGGAAUUACUGGGCGUAAAGCGCGUGUAGGCGGCAGCGCAAGUCGGGUGUGAAAGCCCUGGGCUCAACCUAGGAAGUGCACUCGAAACUGCGUAGCUUGAGUUCUGGAGAGGAAGGCGGAAUUCUCGGUGUAGAGGUGAAAUUCGUAGAUAUCGAGAGGAACACCGGUGGCGAAGGCGGCCUUCUGGACAGCAACUGACGCUGAGACGCGAAAGCGUGGGGAGCAAACA